GAUGAACGCUGGCGGCGUGCCUAAUACAUGCAAGUCGAGCGAACGGACGAGAAGCUUGCUUCUCUGAUGUUAGCGGCGGACGGGUGAGUAACACGUGGAUAACCUACCUAUAAGACUGGGAUAACUUCGGGAAACCGGAGCUAAUACCUGAUAAUAUUUUGAACCGCAUGGUUCAAAAGUGAAAGACGGUCUUUCUGUCACUUAUAGAUGGAUCCGCGCUGCAUUAGCUAGUUGGUAAGGUAACGGCUUACCAAGGCAACGAUGCAUAGGCGACCUGAGCGGGUGAUCGGCCACCCUGGAACUGAGACACGGUCCAGACUCCUACGGGAGGCAGCAGUAGGGAAUCUUCCGCAAUGGUCGAAAGCCUGACGGAGCAACGCCGCGUGAGUGAUGAAGGUCUUCGGAUCGUAAAACUCUGUUAUUAGGGAAGAACAUAUGUGUAAGUAACUGUGCACAUCUUGACGGUACCUAAUCAGAAAGCCACGGCUAACUACGUG
rnacentral:rRNA from 1 species